UAAGUACUCCCUCCGUUCGGAAUUACUUGUCUCGAAAAUGAAUAUAUCUAGAACUAAAAUAUAUCUAGAUACAUCUAUUUUUGCGACAAGUAAUUCUGAACGGAGGAAGUAAAUG
rfam:Triticum aestivum genome assembly, contig: Triticum_aestivum_CS42_TGACv1_scaffold_002387_1AL